GGAGAAAGCAGGUAGCGCUGCUAACCCGAGUCGUGGCUCGCUCAGACCAGGGACCAUUUCGGCUGGACCAGUGGAUCUUUCGGGGACUCUUGAAUUCACACGGGGCCUGAGCGCUGUCUUACCGAAGGCUGACUACACCGCUUGCCCUGAGCACCUGGGAGGCCGGUAUAGUCCAGCUGGGAGUCUGGAUUAUUUUAUUCCUCAUGCCAGAACGUGGAUCAUCCACCUUCUAAUGGGACUUGGGUUUGCGGCCGGGUGAGGAGGCCACAGAAAACGAGUACUGGACAGUUCAAGCCCCAAGAGAGAUGUUCACCAAAAAGUUCCUUGAACAUGGGUCUCUGAAAAACCCAGAUCUGAUGAACACCAGCCUAUCAGCAGAGUUCACUACACUGCCCAUCAGAGUACCACAUGUGGUAAGAGAGCAUGUGACAGGCAGCAGGAGAACAAAGGGACAUGGAGG